GGAGAGAUGGCUGAGUGGACUAAAGCGUCGGAUUGCUAAUCCGUUGUACGAAUUAUUCGUACCGAGGGUUCGAAUCCCUCUCUCUCCCACUCCCC
rnacentral:tRNA from 1 species